AGCGAACGCUGGCGGCAGGCCUAACACAUGCAAGUCGAACGAACCCUUCGGGGUUAGUGGCGGACGGGUGAGUAACACGUGGGAACGUGCCUUUAGGUUCGGAAUAACUCAGGGAAACUUGUGCUAAUACCGAAUGUGCCCUUCGGGGGAAAGAUUUAUCGCCUUUAGAGCGGCCCGCGUCUGAUUAGCUAGUUGGUGAGGUAAUGGCUCACCAAGGCUACGAUCAGUAGCUGGUCUGAGAGGAUGACCAGCCACAUUGGGACUGAGACACGGCCCAGGCUCCUACGGGAGGCAGCAGUCGGGAAUUUUGCCCAAUGAGCGAAAGCUUGAGGCAGCAACUCCGCGUGAGGGAUGAAGGCUCUAGGGUCGUAAACCUCUUUUCUCAGGGAAGAUGCAAGACGGUACCUGAGGAAUAAGCGACGGCUAACUACGUGCCAGCAGCAGCCGCAGUAA
rnacentral:rRNA from 1 species